rnacentral:rRNA from 1 species
AUUGAACGCUGGCGGCAUGCCUUACACAUGCAAGUCGAACGGCAGCACGGGAGCUUGCUCCUGGUGGCGAGUGGCGAACGGGUGAGUAAUACAUCGGAACGUACCCUGAAGUGGGGGAUAACGUAGCGAAAGUUACGCUAAUACCGCAUAUUCUGUGAGCAGGAAAGAGGGGGAUCGCAAGACCUCUUGCUUUAGGAGCGGCCGAUGUCGGAUUAGCUAGUUGGUGAGGUAAAGGCUCACCAAGGCGACGAUCCGUAGCGGGUCUGAGAGGAUGAUCCGCCACACUGGGACUGAGACACGGCCCAGACUCCUACGGGAGGCAGCAGUGGGGAAUUUUGGACAAUGGGCGCAAGCCUGAUCCAGCCAUGCCGCGUGAGUGAAGAAGGCCUGGUUGUAAG